GCGUGCAGGAAGACGGUCCUAUGGAUUGUAAACUGCUUUUGUACAGGAAGAAACACUCCCUCGUGAGGGAGCUUGACGGUACUGUAAGAAUAAGGAUCGGCUAACUCCGUGCCAGCAGCCGCGGUAAUACGGAGGAUCCAAGCGUUAUCCGGAAUCAUUGGGUUUAAAGGGUCCGUAGGCGGUUUAAUAAGUCAGUGGUGAAAGCCCAUCGCUCAACGGUGGAACGGCCAUUGAUACUGUUAGACUUGAAUUAUUAGGAAGUAACUAGAAUAUGUAGUGUAGCGGUGAAAUGCUUAGAGAUUACAUGGAAUACCAAUUGCGAAGGCAGGUUACUACUAAUGGAUUGACGCUGAUGGACGAAAGCGUGGGUAGCGAACAGGAUUAGAUACCCUGGUAGUCCACGCCGUAAACGAUGGAUACUAGCUGUUGGGAGCAAUCUGAGUGGCUAAGCGA
rnacentral:rRNA from 1 species